UUUGUGAUUUUUUUGCAGUGGCAACGGAUCCUGUUAAUAUGAUCCUUGGGACGUCACUACCACUCCCAUUGCAGUCAACAUUGUAAAUAGUUACGGUAGGUUAAUAGUUAAGGUUAGGUAAGGUUAAAGUAAGGGUUAAGGUUAGGGUAGGGACGUCCCAAUGAUCUUGGAUAGCACUGACCCAGUGGGAACGGCCAUCCAACAAACAACCCCCUUCAAAGCGUUUAGGCUUUUGGCGCCGUCUAUUUUAAAUCCCCACUCCGGCCAAUCACAUGAGUUUGCCAUUGAGCCGCCACAGACAACCGUGAUAGUCUCAAAAUAUAGACCUUCAGCCAAUCCAAACACCGUUCAUGCCCUGGGUCCCAGAUUCAAAUUUAAAUGCGUAAUUUCAGCCAACCGUAUAUGACAAGCGGGAGGAGCUCUAAAAAACAUUUAAUCAAGUUUGUGCGAACUGUCUCUCACCCACAAAACAGUGCGAAGGACUUWACAUUGGCASUCAUUGUAUUUGUGUGGCUGGAUAAUAGAAUAUAGCAGCCAUGCCGGGUAAAGAUCCUAAUAAGCCGAAGGGAAAGACUUCUUCCUAUGCGUUCUUUGUUGCGACGUGCCGGGAAGAACACAAGAAAAAACA